UAAAUAUCUCCAGUCGACCAAGAAAUUGGGCCACAUUUGCCCCGUGUGACAUUCACACCUGGCGCCACCAGCGGCCAGACACAGGCAACAGCUGCCUGCAGCACCAAGGAUCAGCUGACGCCAUAAACACGACGCCCCGCCCCACAGUCUGGGAAGACUGAAUGUGACAUUUGAACUCUGGGCAAGCUGAUCUUCUUGUUUAGAAACUAUUACCGUCCACUUGACAAAAAUGCCCACAGCAGGUGCUAUGACCCUGAUGUUUAUUGGGGUUAUUCUCUUUGCCAUAAUACUCUUUGUGACCUGUUUUAAAAGGCAAGUUGGUAGAAUGAAAGAUCGCUCAAGGAGAGAUCCUCAUGUACCUGGCUCUGAAGCUAAGAAGGCUUUAAGACGAGAAAUUGAGCGAAGGUUGGAUCGGGUAGCAGACAUAUACUAUGAACCCAAGUUGCUCACGCUAGAGAUUGACAACAAAGCAAAUUCUGACCUGCCUCCUUAUUACUUUAGAAUGAAAGCUGUAGAUAAUAUGAAAUAUUUAGAGCAAGAGUUGUCAUCACUGGAAGGAGUUGGAGUUCGUGGAUCUAGGGAAAGCAUCAGAGCCUUCCUGAUGAAUCUUACCUAUCCAGGAGGUGUCUUGGCACUGGUUGAGCCACGUAUUAUCCACGAGCUCUGCGACUACUAUGAUCAUGCACGAUAUCACCCAAUGCACUUUACUGCUGCACAGUUUACUCCAUACCAUAGCUUAUUGCUGCGGAUCUUGAACUGUGGUCGUAAUGGUGAGAAGUUUUCUGGACGUGUCAUGUCCACAGUCAAGGCACCAAGUGACCAUGAUUCAGCAAUUGAUGAACCUGAACAUGACCACAGUGGAGAUGAUGAAAACUUAAUCAUCACAGAUUCUAACAUGGUGCUGCUUCACAGACCGUCGUCACUCAAAGUAUCUCCUGAAGAUAAUUUUGAAACAUCAGUCUGAAGAUAGUUUAUGCUAGGAUCAAUGGCUGACUCCUGCAUGGAUGAGGAAAUGGAGGACUGAAACAUUGCUUGUGUGCUUUAGCUGGACUAAGGACACUGCACAUAGCCACACUUAUGAAAUGCAUACCCUGGAGAAGUUUUUUGAAAAGCAAGCAAAUUGUCCACUGCCUUCUAAUUCACCAAGAGCCUCCUCCACUGCCUCUUGGAGCAAUUUCUCCAUUAGUUCUAGCCGUGCAAGAUCCAAAAUGCCAUCCAAAAAGUAUUCUUCGUCAGCUCUCACCAACUGUACAUCUCUGAAAUAAGUCAUAUCUGAUAUAUAGAAUUUGAAUAAAUUUGACAUUAUAUUAGCAAAUACAAAAAUAAAUAUGCAGGAAACUAAUGCCAAGAAAUCUAAUUUGGUAUCUACAGAUCAAGCAGGUUCUUAAGAACAUUGUCGGCCACUGUCUGAGGAUUCUUAGACAGAGCCUUAAAAAUGGCAUAUCUUAAUAGGUGGUCUACUAAUACUGUGGGUACUAGUGAAUUUCUUUUCCCUGAAUGACUUAAGUAAAUUAAACCUGUUCCAACUCAAAUCUCUGGAAAUUUGCAACAAGAAGUCUCAAUCUUUUUUGCCAUUGACAGUUCUUACAAUGUGUUCCACAUGUAAUUAAAAUACAAGUACAGUAAAAGUAAAUAAGACUUCAACCAGACAGUAAGUCUGGGAAAUAAAACUCGGCAUUGAAUGUAAUAAAACACCUCUUGUGGGUCCCUCGGUGGCUUCCGAAGCUACCCACCUGGCAACCUCCAAACCUUAGUUACCCCAUCAGACUCUUUAACGAAUCAUGAGCACCAACUGGACAUCGGGACCAGAAUCUGGCUACUUCAAAACAGGGGCAGGGGAAGUUUGCAGAUACAAGAUCUCCACAUGUGCAACCGUGAUGUGAACUAUGUACACACUCAUUGUCUAGGUCAAUCCACUAGUUAGUAAUACUUGCUUACUACCAAAUGGCAGCCCUGGUGAUCAGAGGGUCCUAACCCUCUGCCCCAGUCAUAAACAUACUAUCCAAAUAAUGACCCUGAGUACUGUACCACAGAAAGGACAGAAGGGUGGGAUUGGGGAGCCACUGAGGGACUUGCCAGAAAGGGGCAUUUCAUUAUAUUCAAUGCAGGAUUUUUGGGACAGACAAUGUUAUAAUAGACACUCAAAGUACAAAUCUGAAAAAGGAAUUGACGAUGUUUUGGUCUAUCCUGGACCAUUAUCAAGUCAUAUAAUGGAAAAAUAGGGCAGAAGGAAAAGUCAAUUGAUUAGCUGAGAGUGAGAGAUGGUAGGCAAAAAGGUUGAAAAAUAAGAGUACUGGUAAGGUAAGAACAGGGAUGGGUAAACAUAAGGGAAUAAGUAUAGGAAUAGGUUGAAGUAUAGAAAAAUGGGUUGAAGUAUGGGACUGUAAGAGAACAAGGAAGAAGCACAUGUACAUGAACUGCAUGGAGAGCCAAACUUCGAGAAACCAUAAGCUGAGCUACAUGUUGAAUCUAGCCCCCACAGGAAGAGAAUCAACUGAUCUGCAAUGGUGAGACAAAGAUCCACUGGAACACAGGCACAAGGAGAACUGGAUCAGACAAAUACAGAGAAACGCUGGAAACAAAUACAGAGAAAACCCAAAACUGCUACCACCCUUAAUUCACUAAGUGCAUCUAUCUAUCAGAAGGCUAACCAUCCUGUGGUCCAGGGCUGCCAAGAAUGCAGCAACCACGAAUUCCAAGCUGAGAGCGAGCCAUUGUGACUGAGAAGAGGGCGAGCAUAAGACACCACCACUAUACGAAUUCCGAAAGCUUGAAAAGGUCAGUUGCGACAAAGAACUGCAGGGGCAAGUGGAAACUGCACCCAACAGCCUUAAUGAAGGCAAAAUGGAGCAUCCCAAAGAAAUAAGUACA